rnacentral:rRNA from 1 species
CUUCACGGCUUCCCUACGGCACCGACAACGGUCGCACCGUGGCCGACACCUAGCGAGUAUCGUUUACGGCUAGGACUACCCGGGUAUCUAAUCCGGUUCGUGCCCCUAGCUUUCGUCCCUUGCCGUCAGGUCCGUUCUGGUGAGACGCCUUCGCCACUGGUGGUCCUUCAAGGAUUACAAGAUUUCACCCCUACCCCUGAGGUACCUCUCACCUCUCCCGGCCUCGAGCCGAACAGUAUCUCCUGAAAGCCCAACAGUUGAGCUGCUGGAUUUCUCAAGAGACUUAUCCGGCCGGCUACAGACCCUUUAGACCCAAUAAUAACGGUUACCACUCGAGCCGCCGGUGUUACCGCGGCGGCUGGCACCGGUCUUGCCCGGCCCUUGCUAUGCAAUGCUUUUUAUGCAUCACGACAGCCAGAUUUGUAACCUGGCACUCGAGGUCCCCUUAUCGCC